UGCAUCAUUUUUCAUUCCGUCCAUACGUCUCUCAGCUCAGCAUUGAAAAAGCAAAACAUAAAAAAGAAAAAACAGAAAGAAAAUUAUUAAUACUUUUAAUCUACAAUACUAUAUUUUUUUUGUCAACCAAACACGAAAUUUCCCUUUCCGUUUCAAUUCUCUUCUUUGUGAUUUCGAUUCUCGAUUCUUUUUGAUGAAGAAGGAAAAGAUUUUAAUUAUAUUGGUGUGACGAUGUCCAAAAAAGCCAGCAACUGCGCAAUUUGCGACAAUUCAAAUCGCGCAUCCAUUUGCGCCGUUUGCGUCAAUUACAGAUUAAAUGAAUAUAAUUCUUUGUUAAUAUCGUUGAAAAGCCGUCGUGAAUUUUUAUAUUCAAAAUUAACCGAAGUGCUUGCCGCAAAGGGGAAAACUGAUGAUCAGCUGAAUUGGAAAAUUCGUCAAAACGAGAAGCUAACUUGCUUGAAAGAGAAGCUUCGUCGUAGUAAAGAACAAUUAGCUCAAGGGAAAGCUAAGAUUGAGAGGGUGUCUCAUGACUUAAAGUUUAAUUACGGAGUGCUUGAUUCUGCUCGAGCUGCAUUGGAAAAGAAUCGUGUGGAACAGAUCAAAAAGUACUAUCCCAACCUUAUUUGCACGCAAAGCUUGGGGCAUAUGGCAAUUACCUCGGAACGUCUUCAUAAGCAGUCUGUGGUCAUAAAACAGAUAUGCAAAUUGUUUCCCCAACGUCGGGUAAAUUUAGAGGGGGGGAGAAAAGAUGGAUCCAGUGGUCAGUAUGAUCUUAUUUGCAAUGCUCGCUUACCAAGAGGGCUUGAUCCCCAUUCUGUUCCAUCAGAGGAGCUCGCUGCCUCGUUAGGAUACAUGGUGCAACUUCUGAAUCUUGUUGUUCGUAACUUGGCUGUUCCUGCACUUCAUAACUCAGGUUUUGCGGGGUCUUGCUCACGAAUAUGGCAACGAGAUUCUUAUUGGGAUGCAUGCCCGUCUUCUCGAAGCAAUGAAUAUCCACUUUUUAUACCUCGCCAAAAUUAUUGCUCUGCUAGUGGGGAUAAUUCAUGGACAGAUAGAAGCUCUAGUAAUUUUGGUGUUGCUUCAAUGGAAUCUGAUAAAAGAUUCCGUCUGGAUUCAUCUGGAAGUAGUAGCUUCAAUUGUUCUUCUGGUUCUCCCCACACUGCUGAAACACAUGAGGACUUGCAGAAAGGGAUAUCUCUUCUGAAGAAAACUGUGGCAUGCAUUACCGCUUACUGCUACAACUCACUCUGUUUAGAUUUUCCUACUGAGGCAUCUACUUUUGAAGCAUUUUCUAAAUUACUGGCCACACUAUCUUCAACCAAGGAAGUUCGAUCUGUUUUUUCGGUGAAGAUGGCUUGUUCAAGGUCAAGCAAGCAAGUCCAGCAGCUUAACAAAUCUGUAUGGAAUGUGAAUUCUGCCAUGUCAUCGAGCACGUUAUUGGAGAGUGCACACACGCUUCCUUUGACGAAAAACUUCUCUGAUAGCAACCUUCGUAGUUCGGCUGCCAGUUUUCUUUUUGCCACUGAAAUGUCUGAUACUAGGAAGAAUGAAAACUCAAUUGAUGAAUGGGAUCUUGUGGAGCAUCCAACGUUCCCCCCUCCACCAUCAGAAACUGAGGAUGUCGAGCAUUGGACUCGAGCCAUGUUUAUUGAUGCUACAAAGCAAUGACCAGUUACCUGUAAGUGACAUGUUGGUUAUCUAAUCAUCUAGUUAAGUGUCCAAGUAAUGGCAUUAUCAGCUAUAUGCAUCUAACGCCAAUGCUGAUUUCCUCAAAUUAUAGCUUUAAACAAAACCUUGGUGUUUUGCAUUACCAUUGCUGAUGUCAUUCAAUUUCAUGAAGACAUCGAUCAUGUAAUCUGGAUUUGGAGGUGUCAGAGAAAAGUAUGUUUCUGACAUGAUUAUACCCAGUCGUUUUUCUAAUUUGUUUUCAUAUAUUUGGAGAACCAUGUUCUCAUACCCACAAAUGUGUUUAACGUAACUGUCAUACAUAGAUACUUUUAUAAAAUGUGAAGAGUUUGGAUCACAUACUUGAGGAUUUCUAUAGAAGACAUCAAUCAUGUAUCGUAUGCUAUCCAGAUUCAGAAGUGCCAGAUACAAGUGUCGGACAUAGAUACUUUAAGAAAAAUGAGUAGUCCGGGUCACAUAGUUGCUCUCCAUUGAUCGAUGUUAACUUUUCUCUCUUAGCGUAUGAAUUUCUUCACUGGAUAGGUUUUUCGAAGAAAUUCUGAGAUCGAGGACGUGCAAAUCUUUAAUUCCUGGCCUUGACUAGUGUUACAUGUAAAUAGAGGUGAUUUCGUUAUUCAUGUAGUGUAUGUAAUUAUAUUUAUUUUAUUCACUUAUAAGUUGUUUGAGGAGUCUUUUUCCUAUUUUCAAUGGAAAAAGAAUUAAUAGGAAAAAAAUUGUUUAACAAAAUUUACGUUGUUAAAAUGCUUUAUAUAGAUUUGUAAUCUUUGUUCCUAUGUUUAAUUUUAAUAUAACUAUUCAUUUGUAUUUA